rnacentral:miRNA from 1 species
UAAACAACACAUAUAGUUUGC